rnacentral:lncRNA from 1 species
AGGGAGCCAAGGAAAGCCUGCGGCACCAACAGCUUCCCUUCCUGGCAGGAGGAGAGGCCACUUGCUGACACCGAGGUGGACAGCGCAGGCUGGGGGUCUGCAGCCCUGUUGAUGGAAAGGUGCGGAGCAGCUGCAGGGCACCAGGCAGGGAACGGACCAGAAUCCCAAAUGAUGCCUGUGUAGGGCUGAGGGUUCGGCUGAGGUUCUGUUGAGGGAUCUGGGCCCCAGCUAGUGGGUGUGGUCACACGGCCUUUUCAGGGGUGUGAGCGCCCACAUACCUAUUUGAAGAAGGGGCUGCAGAGGUCCCCAGAGUGGGCCAGGGAAAGCAGGUACAGUCAGAAGACAAGGGGGCAGCAGAGUGUCUGUGUCGGCCGGAGCAGCAGUGAGAUGUCUGCCUGCAGGUCCCUCCUUGAGGUGGACACCACGGAGGCCAAGAGGGGAGUGGACAAGGGGAGAGCUCAGGAAGUAAGGCUGUCCAUGGCACGAGGGAGGGAAGGCAGGCAGCGGGCAGGGGAGUGCGGUCAGAGAGGACGCCUGCAGGAUGGACUGGGGGAAGUAAAGGCGGGGGGUGUGGAAGCCCAGGACAUGGCCCAUGGUGUUCUCUAACUGCCGUUAGCUCUGGAGACAUUUGCAACCUCCUCCGAAGACACAGGCGGCAUCUAGGGCAUUUCGUUUGCUGAGGGCAGGGGGACAAACGGCCUGGACAGACAGUACUGAGACGG